CGAACUCUUCGGAGUUAGUGGCAGACGGGUGAGUAACGCGUGGGAACAUACCUUUCGGUACGGAACAACAGUUGGAAACGACUGCUAAUACCGUAUGCGCCCUAUGGGGGAAAGAUUUAUCGCCGAGAGAUUGGCCCGCGUUGGAUUAGCUAGUUGGUGGGGUAAUGGCCUACCAAGGCGACGAUCCAUAGCUGGUCUGAGAGGAUGAUCAGCCACACUGGGACUGAGACACGGCCCAGACUCCUACGGGAGGCAGCAGUGGGGAAUAUUGGACAAUGGGGGCAACCCUGAUCCAGCCAUGCCGCGUGAGUGAUGAAGGCCCUAGGGUUGUAAAGCUCUUUCAGCGAGGAGGAUAAUGACGUUACUCGCAGAAGAAGCCCCGGCUAACUUCGUGCCAGCAGCCGCGGUAAUACGAAGGGGGCUAGCGUUGUUCGGAAUCACUGGGCGUAAAGCGCACGUAGGCGGACUUUUAAGUCAGGGGUGAAAUCCCGGGGCUCAACCCCGGAACUGCCUUUGAUACUGGAAGUCUUGAGACCGAGAGAGGUGAGUGGAACUCCGAGUGUAGAGGUGAAAUUCGUAGAUAUUCGGAAGACACCAGUGGCGAAG
rnacentral:rRNA from 1 species